AGAGUUUGAUCAUGGCUCAGGACGAACGCUGGCGGCGCGCCUAAUGCAUGCAAGUCGAGCGACGCAUACUCGGUGGGCAACCACUGGGUAUGACGGAGCGGCGAACGGGUGAGUAACACGUGAGUAACCUGCCCCGAGGAUCGGGAUAGCCCGGGGAAACCCGGAUUAAUACCGAAUACCCUCUCUGGAUCGCAUGAUCCGUUGAGGAAAUGCCUUUGUGCUUCGGGAUGGACUCGCGGCCUAUCAGCUAGUUGGUGAGGUAACGGCUCACCAAGGCAUCGACGGGUAGCUGGUCUGAGAGGACGAUCAGCCACACUGGGACUGAGACACGGCCCAGACUCCUACGGGAGGCAGCAGCAGGGAAUCUUGUCCAAUGGGCGAAAGCCUGAGACAGCGACGCCGCGUGAGGGAUGAAGGCCUUCGGGUUGUAAACCUCUUUCAGGAGGGACGAAAUUGACGGUACCUCCAGAAGAAGCCCCGGCCAACUACGUGCCAGCAGCCGCGGUAAUACGUAGGGGGCAAGCGUUGUCCGGAUUUAUUGGGCGUAAAGGGCUCGUAGGCGGCUCAACAAGUCGGCCGUGAAAACCCAGGGCUCAACCCUGGGACGCCGGUCGAUACUGUUGUGGCUUGGGUCCGGUAGAGGAGAAUGGAAUUCCCGGUGUAGCGGUGAAAUGCGCAGAUAUCGGGAGGAACACCAGUAGCGAAGGC
rnacentral:rRNA from 1 species